rnacentral:rRNA from 1 species
UACAGAGGGUGCGAGCGUUGUUCGGAAUUAUUGGGCGUAAAGGGCGCGUAGGCGGUGCGGUAAGUCACCUGUGAAAUCUCCUGGCUCAACUGGGAGCUUGCAGGCGAAACUGCCGUGCUGGAGUGUGGGAGAGGUGAGUGGAAUUCCCGGUGUAGCGGUGAAAAUGCGUAGAUAUCGGGAGGAACACCUGUGGCGAAAGCGGCUCACUGGACCACAACUGACGCUGAGGCGCGAAAAGCGUGGGGGAGCAAACAGGG